rnacentral:rRNA from 1 species
UGGGGAAUAUUGCACAAUGGGCGCAAGCCUGAUGCAGCAACGCCGCGUGAGGGACGACGGCCUUCGGGUUGUAAACCUCUUUUGGCAGGGAAGAAGCGAAAGUGACGGUACCUGCAGAAAAAGCACCGGCUGACUACGUGCCAGCAGCCGCGGUGAUACGUAGGGUGCAAGCGUUGUCCGGAAUUAUUGGGCGUAAAGAGCUCGUAGGCGGUUUGUAGCGUCUGCUGUGAAAACCCGAGGCUCAACCUCGGGCCUGCAGUGGGUGCGGGCAGACUAGAGUGCGGUAGGGGAGAUUGGAAUUCCUGGUGUAGCGGUGGAAUGCGCAGAUAUCAGGAGGAACACCGAUGGCGAAGGCAGAUCUCUGGGCCGUAACUGACGCUGAGGAGCGAAAGCAUGGGGAGCGAACA